GAUGAAGAACGUAGUGAAAUGCGAUAAGUAAUGUGAAUUGCAGAAUUCAGUGAAUCAUCGAAUCUUUGAACGCACAUUGCGCCCGCCAGUAUUCUGGCGGGCAUGCCUGUUCGAGCGUCAUUUCAACCAUCAAGCCCCAGGCUUGUGUUGGGGACCUGCGGCUGCCGCAGGCCCUGAAAACCAGUGGCGGGCUUGCUGUCACACCGGGCGUAGUAGAUUUUAUCUCGCUCAGGGCGUGCUGCGGGUUCCGGCCGUUAAAAAGCCUUUUUUACCCAAGGUUGACCUCGGAUCAGGUAGGAAGACCCGCUGAACUUAAGCAUAUCAAUAAGCGGAGGA
rnacentral:misc_RNA from 1 species